UUAGUCUUGUAUUGGAUGAUGGGAAUUUAAACCUCUUCCAGAGUAUCAAUUGGAGGGCAAGUCUGGUGCCAGCAGCCGCGGUAAUUCCAGCUCCAAUAGCGUAUAUUAAACUUGUUGCAGUUAAAAAGCUCGUAGUUGAAUUUCUGCUGUAUCGUUUUCCUCUGCUUGACAGUUGGAUUUCGUUAUGGCUUAGUUGGGUUACAGUUUCUGUUACCUGACGUUUACUUUGAGAAAAUUAGAGUGCUUCAAGCAGGCUUUUGCCUUGAAUACUUUAGCAUGGAAUAAUGGAGUAGGACUUUGGUUCUAUUUUGUUGGUUUUAGGAGCCAGAGUAAUGGUUAAUAGGAACAGUUGGGGGCAUUCGUAUUUGACUGUCAGAGGUGAAAU
rnacentral:rRNA from 1 species